AGCCAGGUGGCUCAGUGGUUCAGAGCUCUGGGCCUGGGCUCCAGAAGAUCUGGAUUCAAAUCCAGCCUUGUGC
rnacentral:tRNA from 1 species